rnacentral:rRNA from 1 species
UACGAAGGGGGCGAGCGUUGUUCGGAUUUACUGGGCGUAAAGCGUGCGCAGGCGGUUUUGUAAGCCAGAUGUGAAAUCCCCGGGCUUAACCUGGGAAUGGCAUUUGGGACUGCAAGGCUGGAGUGUGGCAGAGGAGACUGGAAUUCCUGGUGUAGCAGUGAAAUGCGUAGAUAUCAGGAGGAAUACCGAUGGCGAAGGCAGGUCUCUGGGCUGACACUGACGCUCAUGCACGAAAGCGUGGGGAGCAAACAGG